GUGGGUAGUUUGACUGGGGCGGUCUCCUCCUAAAGAGUAACGGAGGAGCACGAAGGUUGGCUAAUCCUGGUCGGACAUCAGGAGGUUAGUGCAAUGGCAUAAGCCAGCUUGACUGCGAGCGUGACGGCGCGAGCAGGUGCGAAAGCAGGUCAUAGUGAUCCGGUGGUUCUGAAUGGAAGGGCCAUCGCUCAACGGAUAAAAGGUACUCCGGGGAUAACAGGCUGAUACCGCCCAAGAGUUCAUAUCGACGGCGGUGUUUGGCACCUCGAUGUCGGCUCAUCACAUCCUGGGGCUGAAGUAGGUCCCAAGGGUAUGGCUGUUCGCCAUUUAAAGUGGUACGCGAGCUGGGUUUAGAACGUCGUGAGACAGUUCGGUCCCUAUCUGCCGUGGGCGCUGGAGAACUGAGGGGGGCUGCUCCUAGUACGAGAGGACCGGAGUGGACGCAUCACUGGUGUUCGGGUUGUCAUGCCAAUGGCACUGCCCGGUAGCUAAAUGCGGAAGAGAUAAGUGCUGAAAGCAUCUAAGCACGAAACUUGCCCCGAGAUGAGUUCUCCCUGAGACUUUAGGUCUCCUGAAGGAACGUUGAAGACGACGACGUUGAUAGGCCGGGUGUGUAAGCGCAGCGAUGCGUUGAGCUAACCGGUACUAAUGAAC
rnacentral:rRNA from 1 species